CCCUUAGAUGUUCUGGGCCGCACGCGCGCUACACUGGCGAAGUCAACGAGCAAGCGGGGUCGGGCUUGUCCCGGGUUUCCGCAGUUCCUGGACCGAGAGGUUUUGGGUAAUCUUGAAACUUCGCCGUGCUGGGGAUAGAUGUUUGCAAUUUUCCAUCUUGAACGAGGAAUUCCUAGUAAGUGCAAGUCAUCAGCUUGCGCUGAUUACGUCCCUGCCCUUUGUACACACCGCCCGUCGCUCCUACCGAUUGGAUGUUCCAAUGAGGCCUUCGGAUUGUGGUUUGCGAGCAAUUGCAUUCUGUUUAGAAGUUGGUCAAAUUAUAACAUCUAGAGGAAGGAGAAGUCGUANCA
rnacentral:rRNA from 1 species